GACGAACGCUGGCGGCGUGCUUAACACAUGCAAGUCGAGCGGAAAGGCCCUUCGGGUUACUCGAUCGGCUAACGGGUGAGUAACACGUUAGUAACCUGCCACAGACUUUGUGAUAAUCCUCUGAAAUGGGGGCUAAGACCGUAUACGACACAGCUUUGCAUAGGGUCUGUGUGGAAAGUUUUUCGGUGUUUGAUGGGCGCGCUGCCUAUCAGCUUGUUCGUCGGUUGAUGGCAUACCAGGGCGACGACUGGUAGCCGGCCUGAGAGGGCGACCGGCCACAAUGGGACUGAGACACGGAGCAGAAUCCUAUGGGACGCAACAGUGGGGAAUAUUGCACAACAGCGGGAAGCGAGAGACAGAGAAGCCGCGUGAGGAAUGACCGCCUUCGAGGUAUGAACAACUGUCAGAAGAGACGAAGAGUAAGUGACAGUACCUGAAGAAGAAGCGCCGGCCAACUACGUG
rnacentral:rRNA from 1 species